CCUACGGGAGGCAGCAGUAAGGAAUAUUGGUCAAUGGAGGCAACUCUGAACCAGCCAUGCCGCGUGCAGGAAGACAGCCCUCUGGGUCGUAAACUGCUUUUAUUCGGGAAUAAACCUCAUUAUGUAUAGUGAGCUGAAUGUACCGAAGGAAUAAGGAUCGGCUAACUCCGUGCCAGCAGCCGCGGUAAUACGGAGGAUCCAAGCGUUAUCCGGAUUUAUUGGGUUUAAAGGGUGCGUAGGCGGCUUUUUAAGUCAGGGGUGAAAGACGGUAGCUCAACUAUCGCAGUGCCCUUGAUACUGAAGAGCUUGAAUGGACUAGAGGUAGGCGGAAUGUGACAAGUAGCGGUGAAAUGCAUAGAUAUGUCACAGAACACCGAUUGCGAAGGCAGCUUACUAUGGUUUUAUUGACGCUGAGGCACGAAAGCGUGGGGAUCAAACAGGAUUAGAUACCCUGGUAGUCCACGCCCUAAACGAUGAAUACUCGCUGUUAGCGAUACACAGUUAGCGGCUAAGCGAAAGCGUUAAGUAUUCCACCUGGGGAGUACGGUCGCAAGAUUGAAACUCAGAUGAAUUGACGGGCUUGGAGACGUUGCCGACGGACGACGACGAGGGGAGGUAGG
rnacentral:rRNA from 1 species